rnacentral:rRNA from 1 species
UGAGGAAUAUUGGUCAAUGGCCGGAAGGCUGAACCAGCCAAGUCGCGUGAGGGACGACUGCCCUAUGGGUUGUAAACCUCUUUUAUAAGGGAAGAAUAAAUGCUACGUGUAGCAUGAUGCCUGUACCUUAUGAAUAAGCAUCGGCUAACUCCGUGCCAGCAGCCGCGGUAAUACGGAGGAUGCGAGCGUUAUCCGGAUUUAUUGGGUUUAAAGGGUGCGUAGGCGGUUUUUUAAGUUAGUGGUUAAACGUCGGGGCUUCACCUUGAUUUGCCAUUAAUACUGUAAGACUCGAGUUCAGACGAGGUAGGCGGAAUAAGUUAAGUAGCGGUGAAAUGCUUAGAUAUAACUUAGAACUCCGAUAGCGAAGGCAGCUUACCAGACUGCGACUGACGCUGAAGCA